rnacentral:rRNA from 1 species
AACGAACGCUGGCGGCAUGCCUAACACAUGCAAGUCGAACGAGACCUUCGGGUCUAGUUGCGCACGGGUGCGUAACGCGUGGGAACCUGCCCUUAGGUUCGGAAUACCUCCCCGAAAGGGGUGCUAAUACCGGAUAAUGUCUUCGGACCAAAGAUUUAUCGCCUUUGGAUGGGCCCGCGUUGGAUUAGCUAGUUGGUAGGGUAAAAGCCUACCAAGGCGACGAUCCAUAGCUGGUCUGAGAGGAUGAUCAGCCACACUGGGACUGAGACACGGCCCAGACUCGUACGGGAGGGAGCAGUGGGGAAUAUUGGACAAGGGGCGAAAGCCUGAUCCAGCAAUGCCGCGGGAGUGAUGAAGGCCUUAGGGUUGUAAAGCUCUUUUACCCGGGAUGAUAAUGACAGUACCGGGAGAAUAAGCACCGGCUAACUCCGUG